rnacentral:rRNA from 1 species
GACAGAGGGGGCAAGCGUUGCUCGGAAUUACUGGGCGUAAAGGGCGCGUAGGCGGGAUGGCAAGUCGGUCGUGAAAUCCUUCGGCUCAACCGAAGAACGUCGAUCGAUACUGCUGUUCUUGAGGGUUGCAGAGGAGACUGGAAUUCCCGGUGUAGCGGUGAAAUGUGUAGAGAUCGGGAGGAACACCGGUGGCGAAGGCGGGUCUCUGGGCCAAUACUGACGCUCAUGCACGAAAGCGUGGGGAGCAAACAGG